CAUGAGAACAUAAAGCCGUGAACAGUCUGUGGUUAGGUGCCGAGGCUGUCCGCUUGGUCGUCCGUCCAACCAAGUAACUAAUUCGUCUCCGUCACCGCCAAAAUCGCACCCUUCCGCAGGAGAGCCAAAACCCUAACCCUAAUCCCCCAAAAUUCCCUGCGAAUUGCCUAUGGGGAGCGACGGUAAGGGAGAGUCCCUCCAUAAGCACCGGCGAUCCUCGCCUUCCUCCGACGAGGAGGCCGAGAGGACCUCGAAGCGCCACAAGCACCGCCACCACCGCCACAGCCACCGCAGCAGGAAGCACGGGGAGGAGACUAAGCAUCGAGAAGGCCGUGACGUCGAUUCUCCUCCUCCACCCCCUGCUCCGAUUUCGAUGACCGGGGAUGACCUGGAGGAAGGGGAGAUUCUUGAGGAGGAGGCGGCUGUUGGAUUGAAUUCUCAUAAUCCGGGAGAUGAUGGAGAAAACGGUGUAGUGCCAGUAGAAGAAAAUUCUGCAGUUGCUGUUGGACCCUUAAAUGAAAGGGAGUUGCAUUCUGGUUUGGAUCCAGAUGGAAAUAUAAAUGGUGAUUUCGUCCCUGAAUCUCAUGAAGUUAAUUGGAAGAAUAGGGAACCUACACCUCUGUCCAAAGAUAAUGGCAAUCAAAUGAGAAGCAAUGAUGUUGACUCACUGGAGUCUGAAGACAGUGGCUUGAGUCAUAGCAAAUUAUCAUCCGGCAGUGCUGCUGAGAGGUACAAAGCAUCAAGGAGGUCUCAUUCUCGUGACAGAUACAAAGAUGGUGAUCAUGCUGACAGGAGGUCACAUUUGGUAGAUUCUGUGAGGGAGAGGUCUCACUCUCGAAGCAUAUUAUUAGAGGAUGAAGAUACCCAUUCAAAAACUAGACACAGACGUGAAACCGAUUCUUCAUUCUAUGAUGGGAAACACAAGAGUGAUUAUGACUUGGAUGAUCAAAGGAAGGCUCACCGCAGUAAGGGUUGGCGGCAUGACAGUAGAGAUACUUUGAGGGACGAAAGAAGGGAACGGAGCAGUAGUUAUAGCAGAUAUGAUAGGGAUGAGUCAAGGCACCAUAGUAAGGAGAGGGACAUUGAUAUUGAAAGAAGAAAGGAAGAUCGGAAAAGGAGGAGAGAUGAAGAAGAUAGGGAUCACAGAAAGAAGAAUGAACGUGAAAGGAGCAUGGACAGGGAGUGGGAGCGAGAUAGGAAGAGGGGGGAGGAGCGAGGUUCUAGUAUGGACAGGGUGAUUGAUCGGAAUAGGAGAAGAGAUCAGGAAAGAGAGAUGAGCAGGGACAGAAGUGACAAGGAACGAGAGAGGACGGUCAAUGGAGGUAGAAGGGAGAGGGAAAGAGAUAGGAGCAGGGAUAGGACCAGAGAAAUUGACAGCAGGAGGUACACUGAGAGGGAAAGAGAUAGGAGCAGGGAUAGGACAAGAGAAAUUGACCGAAGGAGGUACAGUGAGAGGGAAAUGACGGACAGAGACAGGACUAGGGGAGAAGAAAGAAAAUUGGAGAGAGGCAACUUGGAUGAUAGACAUAGUGGUAGACGUAGGGCUGCUGAAAGUGACAAAGCAAAGUAUGAAGCUCUUAAAUAUGGAAAUGACGAUAGAUCCAAGCGCUCAAAUAACUCGAGAGGUGAUCGAAUGGAACGACUGGAGGGUGGUGAAAAUAAACAGCCGAGUAACGAAGAUGAAGAUGAAGAUCUUGAUGAAAGUGUUGUGUUUGAAAUGAAUGAACCGGAAGAGGAAGAUGUUGAGAGAAUCAAGGAAGAGAGUAGACGACGGAGGCAAGCCAUACUGGAAACAUACAAGAAUCAGCAUCAACCGGAGGAGCAACAAAAACAAUUAGCUGAACCUCAACCAGAAAAUUCAGAAAGAGGGAAGAGACUGGCAGAGAAUCCUGGUGAGUCAAUCGGGGCAGCCAAUGCGGUUCCAGGAUCAGAAGGUGCUGAUUUUUCUGUCCGUGAUCUGUCGUUUUCUAUCAAAAAGUCGCCACAAGUUGAUGGAACUGUUGAUCAUCCAACUACUUCUGCUGUUGGACUUGGAGAGGGUACACCAAAGAGUGAGCAUUCAGAGGAUAUGUUCUAUGAUGAUAUCUUUGGAGAGUCACCAGCUGGAGAAUGGAAAACUGGUAAAGGUGGUGGCCUGCGUAUUGAGAGGAGUGGCCUUCAUGACAACUGGGAUGAUGCUGAGGGUUAUUACAGUUAUCGUUUUGGUGAAAUACUCGAUGGCCGUUAUGAGGUCAUUGCUUCUCAUGGGCAGGGAGUUUUCUCCAAUGUAGUUCGCUGUAGAGAUCUGAAGGCUGGCAGUGGUGACCCACAGGAGGUGGCAGUAAAGAUAUUGCGUAAUAAGGAGGCUAUGUAUAAAUCUGGUGUAUCUGAGCUUGGGAUAUUGAACAAAUUAGUAGGUGCAGAUCCUGAUGAUAAGCGCCACUGUGUUAGAUUACUUUCGAAUUUUAAGUACCGGAAUCAUCUCUGUUUGGUUUUUGAAUCUCUUAAUAUGAAUCUGCGUGAGGUUUUGAAGAAGUUUGGUCGAGACAUUGGUCUUAAACUAACUGCAGUGAGGGCCUAUGCCAAACAGCUUUUUAUUGCCCUGAAGCAUCUCCGUAAUUGUGGUGUUCUGCACUCUGAUAUUAAGCCAGAUAAUAUGUUGGUAAAUGAGGCAAAAAAUGUAUUGAAGCUUUGUGACUUUGGUAAUGCCAUGUAUGCUGGGAAGAACGAGAUCACCCCAUACCUUGUGAGCCGCUUUUAUCGAGCUCCUGAAAUAAUUCUUGGAUUGCCUUAUGACCAUCCAAUAGAUAUGUGGUCUGUCGGGUGCUCCCUUUAUGAACUUUAUACAGGAAAAGUGCUUUUUCCAGGCAGCACAAACAAUGAAAUGAUUCGACUUUUCAUAGAGUUGAAGGGACCAUUCUCAAAGAAAAUGCUUCGGAAGGGUGCAUUUGUAGAGCCGCACUUUGAUCAGGAUCUGAAUUAUACUGCUCAAGAAGAGGACCCUGUCACAAAACAGAAGAUAAAGAGAGUCAUUCCAAAUAUUAAACAGAGAGAUAUUGGAUCAAUUAUUAAAGGGUAUCCUGGUGAGGAUCCAAAGAUGCUGGCUAAUUUUAAGGAUCUUCUCGACAAAAUAUUUGUAUUAGAUCCUGACAAGAGGAUGACGGUCCAUCAGGCAUUAAAUCACCCUUUCAUCACGGGCAAGUGAACAAUGUUUGCUGAUUUUCACUCCAGAAUGCUGUUGCCUUAAAAUACUCCAUUAGGAUCUAAUCCUUAUAUAGAUAUCUAAUCAUCGGCGCUAUCUGUCUUGACAUCUCCUCUGGAGGAAGAAGAGGAUUCCAUGCUCUUUUGGCUCGGUUGAAGUUGGAGGGAUUGAUGUGUUGUCAGGAGUACCCUUUACUGGCGGUUCUUUCCAUGGAAUGUACUGUUACUAUUGCAAGAAAACUUGGCAAAGGAUCCCAGGCAAUGCUAUGAGGAAAUCCUCUGGUGCUUAGAUGCUUUAAAAGGCACCUGAGAGAAGGUAUCUUGGUUUGUUAGAGGUAGCCUGUUCUAGUAGUUCUUUUAUAUAUUUGAUUCGAUGCUGAUAUGUUCAUCUGCAUUGGUCAUCAGUUCAUAUAAAUUUCUGAAGUUGGAUUCGAAUUUGUAACACUUAAUAUCGUGGCUAGACUGAAAGUCAAGAUAGUUUGAGCUCUUGCUUAGUGAGCAUAGGCUGUUUAUACUCUUGCUUAGCAUUAUUCAGAUUGCAUGUCAUGAGGAAAAUAUUCUUAAGGAUCUAAUGGAUUACUCAUGGAAAGGGAAAUGGUGAUUGCGUGUGCACACUCUUCCUUGCUAGUUGCGUCUGGAGCUUUUUUUCAAUAUGUUUCUCCUGGUUUAUUGUUGAGAAUAGCUCUUAGUCGGCACUUGUUUCCUUUCUCCAGUUAGGCUUUUACUGUUUUGUUUUUUUCCCUGUUUCGAAUGUGGACUUAAUUCUAAUGAAACUACCUUACAUGUGUUCCAUGGGCUGGAGACAAUUGCAAUGGAGGUUUAUUCUUGUCCUACUUGAAUGGACAAUGUCGUGGUGAGUAGAGCGUGGCUUGUGUUCCAUUCGUCUGCUAGUAUUCCAACAUCAGAAACUUCACGGCCAGGUACUUGCAGACUUCAGGUUUCUCGUAUUGCUAUGAUCUCACCUUUGGCAUACUCAUAUGUUAUGGGAUGUUCACAUCUGAACUUGUGGUUUAUAUGUCUAUGGAGUUGAAAACUUGGGAAAACUUGGAAUGUGUUGGGUAAUUUGUGUCGACAAAAUUAAGUGCUUGAACUUAUGCAAAAAGAUAAGGAGCUUGAACGAGAUUUGCCUCAACUUGUUUCAUGGAACUAUUAAAAGCUUCACCACUUGGAUCACUUUUAUUAGUCAAGAGUUUUGAUGUAUAAGUUACGAGGAACACCUCAUACACGAACUUAAAAAGAAAAGAAUGAUAUGGAGUUAUAGAAGACAAGCCUAAUUAUUAAGAUGGAACUUAUGCAUAAAUAUGGAAAAGCUGGAGAUGGAGAAAACACCCGCUACAUGCUUUGCAUCAACAGAGAGACCUAACAACGAUGAUAUUUUGAGUGUGUUCUCAAUGCUGGAGAAGUUUCCUGUAUCAGAUAAGGGUAAAAUUGUAAACUUGAAAUUGCAAAAUAAUAGUCAAAGGAAUGGACUCGAGGAGGUUACAAGCGGGGGGAAGUUUGAUUUUUUAUUUAUUUUUGAAGGAUCUUUCAACAAAGUUUGCCAAAACGUCUACGAUAAGCUACUAACCUUCAAGCGAAUUGGUAAACAAGUAAAUAGCAGCAAGGGCUUAGUGCUAAUUGGAAAUUUGACAGGAAAUUAAGAAUCAUAAAAGGUUAAAACCAAGUAAAGGCCGAAGCAGCAAGUACUAGACUGCAAAAGGUAGUGUUAGAGGUUGAAGAAUAUUUUUCCAUCAAGUGUUGUGUUUCAUUUGUUAGCUGAUCAAUUUUAAUACUUCAACCAAGGAAAAAUGGAGCAUUGAUUCCUCAAGUGCUUUGAAACAUGGAAGAUGUUCGACUAUUGUUUUAAUGGACGAGCUGAGAAUUAACUGCUAACAAAUUCUGCUAAUAGAAAUAGAGGGGAAUCAGUGCUAGUUUUGUUGGUCAUAGUACAUAUCUGAUGAUAAGGGAUUAUUAAAUGUUGGAUCAGUCACUUGGUUGUGAUCUCAUAGUGGAUAUACUUGUGGUGCAUUCUGGUGUAAGUUUUGAGUGAAAUGAAGCAUUAAGCUUUUUGCAAAUGCUAAGUUGAUUGUUUUUUGGGUGAUAGACAUGACAAACCUUAUGGUAGUCUAUUCAUGACCCUCUUUGAAUUUGAGCUAGUCCGCAUCAUUAUUUCCACUAUGAUAGACUGUUCGUUUUUUUUUUGGUAAACAAAUGAUAGACUGUUCAUUUUCAUCUUUGUGUAGACUUUUCUUUGUAUGGUCCUUUUUAACUGCUUUUCUUUAUGGCAGAAUGUGCUAUUUUAUACCUUAGAAAAAGUCCAUUGCACCAUCUAAUGGAUCACCUAGCAAGACAGCAGAAAAUUUGACACUACGUUUUUUUUUUUUUGUCCCCCCUGGUAUACACAUUCUCAAUAAACUAUCUGGAAGGAACAGCUCCAACAUUUAUACUGUUUAUUUAUGAGGUUCGUUUGGGAGUGGUGUUGCUGAUGAAAAGGUGCUGAAAUAGGGAGUAAUUCUUGAUUUCAGUAUGAGCUAGAGUGUCUUGGAGCUACUAAUUUAUUACUGCUGAAAGUAUGUGAUUGAUUAAUGCUUGAAAAGCAGAAUAAAAGUAUUUCAUAAGCAUCUAUCAAUCUACCGGAGAAAAUUCCAUUUGCAAUUGCCAAAUUCAACCUAAACUAGGGUUUGAAAAAUCUCAUCAAACAUAGCUUCUGCUAUAGGUUAUAAGGAAAGGCGCUUUGUGAGACCUCCCAGCGCAUUCUUAAAAGAACUUUAAACGUGCUCCUCAGCUAUAAUCUGCCUUACUCUUACAGUUCAUAUUCACUGAGAACAAAGAAAUAGGUUAUUAGAUCUUAUUGCUGCGCGCUUUUUGCUGUGUCCACAUCAUAAGUCUUUGGAUGCGGAGUCUAUACUUUGAGGAGCAGACUACGGAUUAAGAUACGAAAGAUAUGCAAUACCAUAGAUCAAUGGGCAAACAUCAUCUUCAUAUCUCUAUGCCUUGGUAUGUUUUGGUGUUGACUAUCAUCACUUAGAGACAAAAGUGUAAAGUUAAUUUUCGGUGAAAGUUUGAGAUCCAAUUAAUCUUAAACUUUCAGUAUAGGCCUGGUGUUGCCUCACUGAUUCCUCUGAAAAAGGUAGUUUUUUUCCCUGUUGGAGUCUUUUUUUCCUUUUAGUUCUGGCUUCUUGUCUUAUAACACCUCUUGCAGAUGAAAUAAUAGGCUGAAGUUGAGCCUAUUAGAGCAACAAAGUGGAGUGUAGUUAUGGAGCCGAAGGUAAAGAUUAACUGGACAUCUUUUAUAGUUACUUUUUUUAGUAGAUGUCUAUUCCUUCCCUUAUGGUGCGAGUUACUAUCGUAUUUGGCACGUUUGGCUCUGUUUCGUGGAAUCUAAGCUGGCGAACUUUGUAAUGGUAAAGAUUAGAUCAAUGUAGUUUAUUUGGAUCAAUCCAUAAGGCAUACCGAAGCUUUGGAGGUAUCGCGCAUCAAUCUGCUUUUGUUGUUGUAUCUCAUCGAGGAAGAUUAUGCAAAUACAACGUUCUGUAAUCGGAUUACUGUGGAAAUUCUCUUCGAUGCUCCCCAGCUGUUUAUCUGAGCUUUUUUUUUUCGAUU